GGACACACAGGCCCUGUGCUGUCUCAGCUGAGAGGUCCCCAUCUGCUGACUCACUCGCACCUGGGGCUUCUUGGCUGGUCAUCUGGAAAGGUGAUGGGCCAUGCAUCUUCCUGACGCACUGUGAAGCAGGAAGAGAUGGAACAGUGGCUCUGGGUUACCGGUGAGGAGCGAGAAGCACCAACAUGGGUCUUCAUUCUGGAUUUCAUCUUCAAUAUUGAUCCACAGGCCUUAAGAUCAUAACGCUUUCUAAAGAGCUCCAGCAAUGGAAACAGCUGUCAGCUCUUCCACCAAAGAUGCUCAAACCAUCACACUGUCACAUUUAAAUAUAAGAAGCCCCCAAUAUGGAAGAAGACAUCCCUUCUGGUUACGGUCUUGUGUGUGCUAGCUCUCUUUCACUAAUGUCCACUUAAAAAAUAUACAUCAUAACUUGAGCAUAGCGGCACAUGCUUUUAAUCCCAGCACCUGGGAGGCAGAGGCAGGCAGAUCCCUGAGAGUUUGAGGCCAACCUGGUCUACAGAGUGAGUUCCAGGACAACAGGGGCUACAUAGUUAAACUAUCCAUGUUUUGAAGAAACAAGCAAAUGUAUAUUAUCUACUUAUAUUACAUAUUACUUUGUUCAUAUGUGACAUAUAUACAUCAUAAUAAUCUGUCCAUCUCAUACAUUGAAUGAACUGAUAUUUCAAUCUCCCAAAAAUCUGG
rnacentral:lncRNA from 1 species